GCCAGGCAUGGUGGUGCAUUCCUGUAGUCUCUGCAACUCAGGAGGUUGAGGGAGGAGUAUCACUUGAGCCCAGGAGUUCCAGGCUGUAGUGAGCUAUGAUCGAGCCACUGCACUCCAGCCUGGGCAACACAGAGAGACCCUGUCUCUU
rnacentral:SRP_RNA from 2 species